rnacentral:lncRNA from 1 species
CUCCCGGCCCGGUCUUCCACGCAGCAGACCCUCUUCCUGGAGCAGGUUUCAGCUCACACAAAUCUGCACAAACCCUGGUCAUCCUUAAAGCCCAGCUGAAGCACUCUCAUUCCGGGCAGCUGGCCCUAAUGCCCUCAUUUGAGAUAGCCACUCCCUGCUCAUGGCUCCUGACAAACCUUUUCCUUCCUCUGCUCUCGCACAGCUGAACUUCGCAAGAACUUGGAGCAUCCCUUUCAAACGGAGGGGCUGGAUCCUGCAAGAAACUUCUGACAAAAUACAGAGGACCGCCAUGCCUUCUGGGGUGUUCUCCCAGAGAUGCCCCUUCUGCUAUCCUGCCUGUGCUGCCCUGAUCAUUACUGCAAAUGGCUGGAUUCAUCUUUGUCAAGUUUGCACUUUCCCCAAAGUUUGAAUUAACCUCGACAUUAAUUUGCUGAUGAAGCACCUGCAGUAGGUCAUAUAGCGUGAGCACCUGUGAUUUCCAAGGAAAUUAUUGUAAUGUGCUGAAUGGGAGAUUUAAAGGUUACUUGUUCCCCUGCAAUCUAUGAACUGUUAUAUGAAAAAGUCAUAACUGAAAUAAUUGAAGUGUCAGAAA